UACGAAGGGGGCUAGCGUUGCUCGGAAUCACUGGGCGUAAGGGUGCGUAGGCGGGUUUUAAGUCAGGGGUGAAAUCCUGGAGCUCAACUCCAGAACUGCCUUUGAUACUGAAGAUCUUGAGUCCGGGAGAGGUGAGUGGAACUGCGAGUGUAGAGGUGAAAUUCGUAGAUAUUCGCAAGAACACCAGUGGCGAAGGCGGCUCACUGGCCCGGUACUGACGCUGAGGCACGAAAGCGUGGGGAGCAAACGGG
rnacentral:rRNA from 1 species